rnacentral:sRNA from 1 species
CGCGGGGAGACCCCAAUGGAUUAGCAGUCCAUCGCCUUUUUUUUUUUUUUAUCUUUUAUUUACAGUAUAAUGCAUGCAUAGAUAAAAAACAGUGUAACAAUGGCUGAAUGAUAUUUUUUUGUCACCAGAUGAUGAAAUGUACUUGGGUCUGUCUAUAUGAUUGAAUAUUCGUAUAUAUUAUUUUGAAAAGAGUUGUGCUAUUGUUAAUAAAUUAAUUAAUGUAUUUU